rnacentral:rRNA from 1 species
CCUACGGGGAGCAGCAGUCGAGAAUCAUGCACAAUGGGGGAAACCCUGAUGGGGCGACGCCGCGUGGGGGAAUGAAGGUCUUCGGAUUGUAAACCCCUGUCAUGUGGGAGCAAAUUAAAAAGAUAGUACCACAAGAGGAAGAGACGGCUAACUCUGUGCCAGCAACCGCGGUAAUACAGAGGUCUCAAGCGUUGUUCGGAAUCACUGGGCGUAAAGCGUGCGUAGGCUGUUUCGUAAGUCGUGUGUGAAAGGCGCGGGCUCAACCCGCGGACGGCACAUGAUAAUGCGAGACUAGAGUACAGGAGGGGGAACCGGAAGUCGCGGUGUAGCAGUGAAAUGCGUAGAUAUCGAGAGGAACACUCGUGGCGAAGGCGGGUUCCUGGACAUUAACUGACGCUGAGGCACGAAGGCCCGGGGAGCGAAAAGGAUUAGAUACCCCAGUAGUC